CAGGCCUAACACAUGCAAGUCGAGCGGACCUUUUGGGGUCAGCGGCGGACGGGUGAGUAACGCGUGGGAAUAUGCCCUUCUCUACGGAAUAGUCCUGGGAAACUGGGGGUAAUACCGUAUACGCCCUUUGGGGGAAAGAUUUAUCGGGGAAGGAUUAGCCCGCGUUGGAUUAGGUAGUUGGUGGGGUAAUGGCCUACCAAGCCGACGAUCCAUAGCUGGUUUGAGAGGAUGAUCAGCCACACUGGGACUGAGACACGGCCCAGACUCCUACGGGAGGCAGCAGUGGGGAAUCUUAGACAAUGGGGGCAACCCUGAUCUAGCCAUGCCGCGUGAGUGAUGAAGGCCUUAGGGUUGUAAAGCUCUUUCAGCUGGGAAGAUAAUGACGGUACCAGCAGAAGAAGCCCCGGCUAACUCCGUGCCAGCAGCCGCGGUAAU
rnacentral:rRNA from 1 species